GGGUUGUGAGGUUAAGCGACUAAGCGUACACGGUGGAUGCCCUGGCAGUCAGAGGCGAUGAAGGACGUGCUAAUCUGCGAUAAGCGUCGGUAAGGUGAUAUGAACCGUUAUAACCGGCGAUUUCCGAAUGGGGAAACCCAGUGUGUUUCGACACACUAUCAUUAACUGAAUCCAUAGGUUAAUGAGGCGAACCGGGGGAACUGAAACAUCUAAGUACCCCGAGGAAAAGAAAUCAACCGAGAUUCCCCCAGUAGCGGCGAGCGAACGGGGAGCAGCCCAGAGCCUGAAUCAGUGUGUGUGUUAGUGGAAGCGUCUGGAAAGGCGCGCGAUACAGGGUGACAGCCCCGUACACAAAAAUGCACAUGCUGUGAGCUCGAUGAGUAGGGCGGGACACGUGGUAUCCUGUCUGAAUAUGGGGGGACCAUCCUCCAAGGCUAAAUACUCCUGACUGACCGAUAGUGAACCAGUACCGUGAGGGAAAGGCGAAAAGAACCCCGGCGAGGGGAGUGAAAAAGAACCUGAAACCGUGUACGUACAAGCAGUGGGAGCACGCUUAGGCGUGUGACUGCGUACCUUUUGUAUAAUGGGUCAGCGACUUAUAUUCUGUAGCAAGGUUAACCGAAUAGGGGAGCCGAAGGGAAACCGAGUCUUAACUGGGCGUUAAGUUGCAGGGUAUAGACCCGAAACCCGGUGAUCUAGCCAUGGGCAGGUUGAAGGUUGGGUAACACUAACUGGAGGACCGAACCGACUAAUGUUGAAAAAUUAGCGGAUGACUUGUGGCUGGGGGUGAAAGGCCAAUCAAACCGGGAGAUAGCUGGUUCUCCCCGAAAGCUAUUUAGGUAGCGCCUCGUGAAUUCAUCUCCGGGGGUAGAGCACUGUUUCGGCAAGGGGGUCAUCCCGACUUACCAACCCGAUGCAAACUGCGAAUACCGGAGAAUGUUAUCACGGGAGACACACGGCGGGUGCUAACGUCCGUCGUGAAGAGGGAAACAACCCAGACCGCCAGCUAAGGUCCCAAAGUCAUGGUUAAGUGGGAAACGAUGUGGGAAGGCCCAGACAGCCAGGAUGUUGGCUUAGAAGCAGCCAUCAUUUAAAGAAAGCGUAAUAGCUCACUGGUCGAGUCGGCCUGCGCGGAAGAUGUAACGGGGCUAAACCAUGCACCGAAGCUGCGGCAGCGACACUAUGUGUUGUUGGGUAGGGGAGCGUUCUGUAAGCCUGUGAAGGUGUACUGUGAGGUAUGCUGGAGGUAUCAGAAGUGCGAAUGCUGACAUAAGUAACGAUAAAGCGGGUGAAAAGCCCGCUCGCCGGAAGACCAAGGGUUCCUGUCCAACGUUAAUCGGGGCAGGGUGAGUCGACCCCUAAGGCGAGGCCGAAAGGCGUAGUCGAUGGGAAACAGGUUAAUAUUCCUGUACUUGGUGUUACUGCGAAGGGGGGACGGAGAAGGCUAUGUUGGCCGGGCGACGGUUGUCCCGGUUUAAGCGUGUAGGCUGGUUUUCCAGGCAAAUCCGGAAAAUCAAGGCUGAGGCGUGAUGACGAGGCACUACGGUGCUGAAGCAACAAAUGCCCUGCUUCCAGGAAAAGCCUCUAAGCAUCAGGUAACAUCAAAUCGUACCCCAAACCGACACAGGUGGUCAGGUAGAGAAUACCAAGGCGCUUGAGAGAACUCGGGUGAAGGAACUAGGCAAAAUGGUGCCGUAACUUCGGGAGAAGGCACGCUGAUAUGUAGGUGAAGUCCCUCGCGGAUGGAGCUGAAAUCAGUCGAAGAUACCAGCUGGCUGCAACUGUUUAUUAAAAACACAGCACUGUGCAAACACGAAAGUGGACGUAUACGGUGUGACGCCUGCCCGGUGCCGGAAGGUUAAUUGAUGGGGUUAGCGCAAGCGAAGCUCUUGAUCGAAGCCCCGGUAAACGGCGGCCGUAACUAUAACGGUCCUAAGGUAGCGAAAUUCCUUGUCGGGUAAGUUCCGACCUGCACGAAUGGCGUAAUGAUGGCCAGGCUGUCUCCACCCGAGACUCAGUGAAAUUGAACUCGCUGUGAAGAUGCAGUGUACCCGCGGCAAGACGGAAAGACCCCGUGAACCUUUACUAUAGCUUGACACUGAACAUUGAGCCUUGAUGUGUAGGAUAGGUGGGAGGCUUUGAAGUGUGGACGCCAGUCUGCAUGGAGCCGACCUUGAAAUACCACCCUUUAAUGUUUGAUGUUCUAACGUUGACCCGUGAUCCGGGUUGCGGACAGUGUCUGGUGGGUAGUUUGACUGGGGCGGUCUCCUCCUAAAGAGUAACGGAGGAGCACGAAGGUUGGCUAAUCCUGGUCGGACAUCAGGAGGUUAGUGCAAUGGCAUAAGCCAGCUUGACUGCGAGCGUGACGGCGCGAGCAGGUGCGAAAGCAGGUCAUAGUGAUCCGGUGGUUCUGAAUGGAAGGGCCAUCGCUCAACGGAUAAAAGGUACUCCGGGGAUAACAGGCUGAUACCGCCCAAGAGUUCAUAUCGACGGCGGUGUUUGGCACCUCGAUGUCGGCUCAUCACAUCCUGGGGCUGAAGUAGGUCCCAAGGGUAUGGCUGUUCGCCAUUUAAAGUGGUACGCGAGCUGGGUUUAGAACGUCGUGAGACAGUUCGGUCCCUAUCUGCCGUGGGCGCUGGAGAACUGAGGGGGGCUGCUCCUAGUACGAGAGGACCGGAGUGGACGCAUCACUGGUGUUCGGGUUGUCAUGCCAAUGGCACUGCCCGGUAGCUAAAUGCGGAAGAGAUAAGUGCUGAAAGCAUCUAAGCACGAAACUUGCCCCGAGAUGAGUUCUCCCUGACUCCUUGAGAGUCCUGAAGGAACGUUGAAGACGACGACGUUGAUAGGCCGGGUGUGUAAGCGCAGCGAUGCGUUGAGCUAACCGGUACUAAUGAACCGUGAGGCUUAACCUUACAACGCCGAAGCUGUU
rnacentral:rRNA from 1 species